rnacentral:rRNA from 1 species
GAUGAACGCUGGCGGCGUGCCUAAUACAUGCGAGUCGAGCGAACAGACGAGGAGCUUGCUCCUCUGACGUUAGCGGCGGACGGGUGAGUAACACGUGGAUAACCUACCUAUAAGACUGGGAUAACUUCGGGAAACCGGAGCUAAUACCGGAUAAUAUAUUGAACCGCAUGGUUCAAUAGUGAAAGACGGUUUUGCUGUCACUUAUAGAUGGAUCCGCGCCGCAUUAGCUAGUUGGUAAGGUAACGGCUUACCAAGGCAACGAUGCGUAGCCGACCUGAGAGGGUGGAGGGCCACCAUGAGACUGGAGACCGGACCAGACCCCAGCCGGGGGACGGCAGGGGGGAUCAUUCGCGAGGGGCGUAAGCCUGGACGGAGCAGCGCGGGGGGGGGAACAAAGGUCUCAGUAACGAAAACCUUUUUAAUGGGGAAAAAAAAAAGUGUAACGAAAAUCGACCCGCCUGGAGGCACCCUAAUAGAAAGACGACGCCAACUUCGGGC